rnacentral:rRNA from 1 species
ACUACCCGCUGAACUUAAGCAUAUCAAUAAGCGGAGGAAAAGAAACCAACAGGGAUUGCCUCAGUAACGGCGAGUGAAGCGGCAAAAGCUCAAAUUUGAAAUCCCCCGGGAAUUGUAAUUUGAAGAGAUUUGGGUCCGGCCGGCGGGGGUUAAGUCCACUGGAAAGUGGCGCCACAGAGGGUGACAGCCCCGUGAACCCCUUCAACGCCUUCAUCCCAGAUCUCCAAGAGUCGAGUUGUUUGGGAAUGCAGCUCUAAGUGGGUGGUAAAUUCCAUCUAAAGCUAAAUACCGGCGAGAGACCGAUAGCGAACAAGUACAGUGAUGGAAAGAUGAAAAGCACUUUGAAAAGAGAGUGAAAAAGUACGUGAAAUUGUUGAAAGGGAAGGGCUUGCAAGCAGACACUUAACUGGGCCAGCAUCGGGGCGGCGGGGAGCAAAACCACCGGGGAAUGUACCUUUCGAGGAUUAUAACCCCGGCCCUUACUCCCAUACUGCCCCGAGGCCUGCAAUCUAAGGAU